UACAGAGGGGGCAAGCGUUGUUCGGAAUUACUGGGCGUAAAGGGCGCGUAGGCGGCCACCUAAGUCGGACGUGAAAUCCCUCGGCUCAACUGAGGAACUGCGUCUGAUACUGGGCGGCUUGAGUUCGGGAGAGGGAUGUGGAAUUCCAGGUGUAGCGGUGAAAUGCGUAGAUAUCUGGAGGAACAUCUGUGGCGAAGGCGGCAUCCUGGACCGACACUGACGCUGAGGCGCGAAAGCCAGGGGAGCAAACGGG
rnacentral:rRNA from 1 species